UACGUAGGCAGCAAGCGUUGUUCGGAGUUACUGGCGUAAAGGGUGCGUAGGCGGUUGUUUAAGUUGGUGUGAAAUCGUCCCGGCUCAACCGGAGGGUGCGCCGAAUACUGAAUGACUAGAGUGCGGGAGAGGAGAGUGGAAUUCCUGGUGUAGCGGUGAAAUGCGUAGAUAUCAGGAGGAACACCGUGGUGUAGACGGCUCGUCUGGACCGUAACUGACGCUGAGGCACGAAAGCGUGGGUAGCAAACAGG
rnacentral:rRNA from 1 species